AUACGUAGGGUGCGAGCGUUGUCCGGAAUUACUGGGCGUAAAGAGCUCGUAGGUGGUUUGUCGCGUCGUCUGUGAAAUUCCGGGGCUUAACUCCGGGCGUGCAGGCGAUACGGGCAUAACUUGAGUACUGUAGGGGAGACUGGAAUUCCUGGUGUAGCGGUGAAAUGCGCAGAUAUCAGGAGGAACACCGGUGGCGAAGGCGGGUCUCGGGGCAGUAACUGACGCUGAGGAGCGAAAGCAUGGGUAGCGAACAGGAUUAGAUACCCUGGUAGUCCAUGCCGUAAACGGUGGGCGCUAGGUGUAGGGGUCUUCCACGACUUCUGUGCCGUAGCUAACGCAUUAAGCGCCCCGCCUGGGGAGUACGGCCGCAAGGCUAAAACUCAAAUGAAUUGGCGGGG
rnacentral:rRNA from 1 species